GGCCCUUUAAUGCUGUCUUGCCCCUCAGGGAAUGUAUUCGUUGAAUGGAGAAGAGAUGUGGGAAAUGAGAAUAUCAAGAAAUUAAUGUCGUGACAUAUAUAGCUAGCUGUUGGUUGCAACAGAGUAGCGGAUAGUUCUACCGAGUAGAGUACAUUUUAACCGUAAUUGGUAGCUGUAUUUCCAAUAGAUAAGGGUACUUUGCGCCGAUUUUCUUUCUAGAGAGCACGCCUGCGUUUGUGUAGGGGCGAGAGCAAGGAAUGGCCGCGGACGUGGAUAAAAGAAUCCCGGAGGACAAGAAAGCUUGUUUGGGGGAGGAUGAGCGUCUGGACAAAUCUCAAGGCGGUGAACGACUGGCGCCUGGCAGGUCCAAGCGAUCUUGGAUCAUUGGAGCAAUGUCAACAUUGCUUAUGUUCAUUAUUGUUCCCCUUCUUGCCUUUGGUUACACAUAUUAUCAAGACUCACAGCUACUUAAACGUCAUGAAGUGGCCUUGAAAGCACUGGGCACCGAGGGCCUCUUUCUCUUCUCCUCCUUGGACACAAACCAUGACCUGUACCUUAGUCCUGAGGAGUUCAAACUCGUCGCAGAGAAACUCACAGGGAUCUCACCUCCAGCAGAUUUUGAGGAGGAAGUGACCCAUGACCCCAAUGGAGAGACCCUAACCCUGGAGGCCAAGAUGCAGCCUCUGCAGCUUGACACAAUGACGAAGAGCAAGGACGGCUUCCUCGGGGUUACUCAUAGUUCCCUGAGUGGGCUGCGUUCCUGGCAGAGUCCUGCUGUGCCCUCCAUGUCCUUCUCUGCCAGCCAGUUCAGGGCCUUCCUGCCCCCCAAAAACAAAGGGGAAGUGGGGGACACCUGGUGGGUCAUUCAGAGUGAGCUCAACAUCUUCACUGGGUACCUGCCAAACAAUCGCUACCACCCUCCUGCACCACGAGGAAAAGAGGUUCUCAUUCACUCCCUGCUAAGUAUGUUCCAUCCACGGCCCUUCAUCAAGUCUCGUUUUGCCCCUCAGGGAACAGUGGCCUGCAUCCGAGCCGCCAGUGACUUUUAUCUAGACAUUGUCUUCAGGAUCCAUGCAGAGUUUCAACUCAAUGAUGUCCCAGACUUCCCCUUCUGGUUCACCCCGGGCCAGUUCACUGGCAACAUCAUCCUCUCCCGGGACUCCUCCCACGUCCGACAGUUCACCCUCUACGUCCCCAACGACAGGACUCUGAAUGUGGACAUGGAGUGGCUCUAUGGAGCCACUGAGAACAGUAAUAUGGAGGUGGACAUUGGAUACCUGCCACAGAUGGAGCUGCAGGCCGCUGGUCCAUCCACUCCCUCCUUCAUCCAGGAUGAGGAGGGGAAUAUUAUCGAUAGCCGAGGUGGAGGCAGCGACCCUAUCCAGUUUGUCUUCGAGGACAUACACUGGGCGUCUGAGAUCAGCCGCGAGGAGGCUGGUCGCCGCCUCGAGGUCACCUUCUACCCCUUCAAGAAGGUGUCAUACCUGCCCUUCUCGGAGGCCUUUCAGCGAGCGCAGGAAGAGAGCAAGCUGGUGCACUCCAUCCUCCUCUGGGGGGCACUAGAUGACCAAUCCUGCUGAGGUUCGGGGCGGACUCUCCGGGAGACAGUCCUGGAAAGUUCGCCCGUCCUAGCCCUGCUCAACCAGAGCUUCGUCAGCAGCUGGUCCCUGGUCAAAGAGCUGGAGGACAUGCAGAUAUUCCAAUGAGCCCAUCCUUCGAUUUAAAGUGACACCAGCUGGCACCACUGGCUCAUCCUCAAGGCUAACAAGCAGAACCCGGUUGAGAGUCAGAGGGCCCGCCUACACCUGGAGAAUUACAACUUUCCAGUAGAAAUGAUGGUGGCACUGCCCAACGGCACUAUUGUUCACCACAUCAAUGCUAACUACUUCCUGGACCAGACGUCCAUGAAGCCGGAGGAGGAAGCUGCCACAUUUAGCUUCUCUGGGGGGUUCGAGGACCCAUCCACUGCUACGUACAUCAACUUCCUCAAAGAGGGUCUGGAGAAAGCAAAGGAGCACCUGGCACAGUAAAGAUGAACGGUGGUCAAAAGUGUGUGUGUGUAAAAACUAGAGUAAUUCCUCUGUGAAGGAUAAUGAUCAAAGAAAAAGCUAACUUGUGUGUAGGUAUCAGAUUCCUAAAGUGCUGGCUUGGCAGCUGUUAACUUUUCAGGUUGUUUUACUAGCAUCCAAUAUGAUCAGUAUUACAACAACCUCUUCAAACGACAGUGGCCACUAUACCAGUUGAGCCCUCCUGAAGACAAUUUUUUUUUUUUUUCAUAACUAAACUCAAUACUCAGUUACUAGAUGUUCUUUCAAGUUAACAUGCUUCUAAUCCCAUUCCAUAUAAUCGCUAAUGUUGCUGUUACUUACCAACUAUUUUAAAGUACAAUGUUCAGAACAGUGGCCAGGCUCCGAACAUUGCUUUGACCUCACCUACUAGUGGCUAAUUAAUUUGACUUAUUUAUGCCUUCUGUUAUGUCAUAACAGUGAGUAAGAUUUGCUCAAACAUUUCUUUAUAUCUACAUUUUCAUAUCAAAACAGACUGCACCAUAAUGCAUUGUUCUGUUUUAUUUGUUAUAUCUCUCAAUAUGCAAAGAACCACACGUUUUAUUUCUGUUGGGGGGGCAGGGCAGGUCAAGUCGUUCCCUCUAGAGUUUCAGCAGUUUGUGACGGCCUUGCCUGAAAGUCCAAAGUUGGCUGGGUACGGCCUGAUGUCAUUGCUUAAGCUUCUGCAGGCAACACCCCCGCUCUGUUCCCCCUAGGUUGCCAACAGCUGUCAUGGAAACCUGGAAACAAAGCUGUAUGGUGGCACAAUGUGUAAUGUAAUAAUUGUUUGUUUGGUUAAUAUUUUUUAUGAAAGCCAACAGUCUUAUGUUGACUGACUAGUUAUUUCUUAACACCUUGACCAUGAGAUCAGAACUUAAGGGGUGACUACACCAAAGAUUAUAUAACAAAAUGAACUUAGAGGCAAGAAGAAGUUAAUCAUUGUGGAUUCUAUCACGUGUACAUGUGAUAAACUUUGAAAUGGGUCAUAUCUUAGGAAAGGUUUCUCCAUCAGCCUCUUGUUAAGCGCUGCAAAGUAGGCAGCACAUUUAGCCAUUGCAGAGGUGAGUCAUCCCCUUGAAAUAGGCUUUUUGACUGAGUGGCAAAUUGUCUGCAAAAAAUAAAAAUUAAUCUUCACUAAAAA